CGAGAUUCCCCCAGUAGCGGCGAGCGAACGGGGAGCAGCCCAGAGCCUGAAUCAGUGUGUGUGUUAGUGGAAGCGUCUGGAAAGGCGCGCGAUACAGGGUGACAGCCCCGUACACAAAAAUGCACAUGUUGUGAGCUCGAUGAGUAGGGCGGGACACGUGGUAUCCUGUCUGAAUAUGGGGGGACCAUCCUCCAAGGCUAAAUACUCCUGACUGACCGAUAGUGAACCAGUACCGUGAGGGAAAGGCGAAAAGAACCCCGGCGAGGGGAGUGAAAAAGAACCUGAAACCGUGUACGUACAAGCAGUGGGAGCACGCUUCGGCGUGUGACUGCGUACCUUUUGUAUAAUGGGUCAGCGACUUAUAUUCUGUAGCAAGGUUAACCGAAUAGGGGAGCCGAAGGGAAACCGAGUCUUAACUGGGCGUUAAGUUGCAGGGUAUAGACCCG
rnacentral:rRNA from 1 species